rnacentral:rRNA from 1 species
AUACGAAGGUCCCAAGCGUUAUUCGGAAUCACUGGACGUAAAGAGUACGUAGGCGGUUUGGUAAGUCAGGUGUGAAAUCCCGGAGCUCAACUCCGGAACUGCAUCCGAUACUGCCAGACUUGAGUAAUGGAGAGGCAGGUGGAAUUCUCGGUGUAGCAGUGAAAUGCGUGGAUAUCGAGAGGAAGACCAAUGGCGAAGGCAGCCUGCUGGACAUUUACUGACGCUGAGGUACGAAGGCUAGGGGAGCGAAAGGGAUUAGAAACCCCGGUAGUCC